rnacentral:ribozyme from 1 species
GGAACGGUACGCUUAGUAUUUAAACGCUGACAAAACUCGAUUGCGCCAAUGCAAAAUCAAAGGCAAGACUAUUGCAGAAACACUACCUCCGUAUAAUUGAACUACUUGAG